UGCCUGGUAGUGUAAUCGGCAACACAUCCGGUGCUGAACUGGAAGAGUCUUGGUUCGAAUCCUUGGCGGGCAA
rnacentral:tRNA from 1 species